rnacentral:rRNA from 1 species
AUUGAACGCUGGCGGCAGGCCUAACACAUGCAAGUCGAGCGGAUGAAGGGAGCUUGCUCCUGGAUUCAGCGGCGGACGGGUGAGUAAUGCCUAGGAAUCUGCCUGGUAGUGGGGGAUAACGUCCGGAAGCGGGCGCUAAUACCGCAUACGUCCUGAGGGAGAAAGUGGGGGAUCUUCGGACCUCACGCUAUCAGAUGAGCCUAGGUCGGAUUAGCUAGUUGGUGGGGUAAAGGCCUACCAAGGCGACGAUCCGUAACUGGUCUGAGAGGAUGAUCAGUCACACUGGAACUGAGACACGGUCCAGACUCCUACGGGAGGCAGCAGUGGGGAAUAUUGGACAAUGGGCGAAAGCCUGAUCCAGCCAUGCCGCGUGUGUGAAGAAGGUCUUCGGAUUGUAAAGCACUUUAAGUUGGGAGGAAGGGUAGUAAGUUAAUACCUUGCUGUUUUGACGUUACCAACAGAAUAAGCACCGGCUAACUUCGUG